GACGAACGCUGGCGGCGUGCUUAACACAUGCAAGUCGAACGAAGACAUCUGAGUGCUUGCACUUGGAUGGACUGAGUGGCGGACGGGUGAGUAACGCGUGGGUAACCUGCCUUAUACAGGGGGAUAACAGUUGGAAACGACUGCUAAUACCGCAUAAGCGCACGGUAUCGCAUGAUACAGUGUGAAAAACUCCGGUGGUAUAAGAUGGACCCGCGUCUGAUUAGCUUGUUGGUGAGGUAACGGCCCACCAAGGCGACGAUCAGUAGCCGGCCUGAGAGGGUGAACGGCCACAUUGGGACUGAGAUACGGCCCAGACUCCUACGGGAGGCAGCAGUGGGGAAUAUUGCACAAUGGGGGAAACCCUGAUGCAGCGACGCCGCGUGGAGGAAGAAGGUCUUCGGAUUGUAAAACUCUAUCAGCAGGGAAGAUAAUGACGGUACCUGACUAAGAAGCACCGGCUAAAUACGUG
rnacentral:rRNA from 1 species